rnacentral:rRNA from 1 species
GUGACAGCCGCCGCGGUAAUACGUAGGGGGCAAGCGUUGUCCGGAUUUAUUGGGCGUAAAGAGCGUGUAGGCGGCCAGAUAGGUCAGCUGUGAAAACUCGAGGCUCAACCUCGAGACGUCGGUUGAAACCAUCUGGCUAGAGUCCGGAAGAGGAGAGUGGAAUUCCCGGUGUAGCGGUGAAAUGCGCAGACAUCGGGAAGAACACCCGUGGCGAAGGCGGCUCUCUGGGACGGUACUGACGCUGAGACGCGAAAGCGUGGGGAGCGAACAGGAUUAGAUACCCCAGUAGUCC